rnacentral:rRNA from 1 species
UACGGAGGUCCCAAGCGUUGUUCGGAUUCACUGGGCGUAAAGGGUGCGUAGGUGGUUGGGUAAGUCUGAUGUGAAAUCUCCGGGCUCAACCCGGAAAUGGCAUUGAAUACUAUCUGGCUAGAGGGUCGGAGGGGAGACUGGAAUUCUCGGUGUAGCAGUGAAAUGCGUAGAUAUCGAGAGGAACACCUGAGGUGAAGACGGGUUGCUGGGCUGACACUGACGCUGAGGCGCGAAAGCCAGGGGAGCAAACGGG